GGGCUUAUAGCUCAGCAGGUUAGAGCGCACGCCUGAUAAGCGUGAGGUCGCAAGUUCGAGUCUUGCUAAGCCCACCA
rnacentral:tRNA from 1 species